GGUUGAUCCUGCCAGUAGUCAUAUGCUUGUCUCAAAGACUAAGCCAUGCAUGUCUAAGUAUAAAAGUAUUCUAUACUUGAAACUGCGGAAAGCUCAUUAAAUCAGUUAUAGUUUAUUUGAUGGUACCUUACUACAUGGAUACCCGUAGUAAUUCUAGAGCUAAUACAUGCGUAAAGGCCCGACUCGUGAGGGGAGGGCUGUAUUUAUUAGAUAAAAAACCAAUGCACCCGCAAGGGUGCUUUUGUGGUGAAUCAUAAUAACUGUUCGAAUCGCAUGACCUCGCGUCGGCGAU
rnacentral:rRNA from 1 species